rnacentral:rRNA from 1 species
GACGAACGCUGGCGGCGUGCUUAACACAUGCAAGUCGAGCGGUAAGGCCCUUUCGGGGGUACACGAGCGGCGAACGGGUGAGUAACACGUGGGUGACCUGCCCUCAGCUCUGGGAUAAGCCUGGGAAACUGGGUCUAAUACUGGAUAUGACUCCACGGUGCAUGUCGUGGGGUGGAAAGCCUUGUGCGGCUGAGGAUGGGCCCGCGGCCUAUCAGCUUGUUGGUGGGGUGAGGCCUACCAAGGCGACGACGGGUAGCCGGCCUGAGAGGGCGACCGGCCACACUGGGACUGAGACACGGCCCAGACUCCCACGGGAGGCAGCAGUGGGGAAUCUUGCGCAAUGGGCGAAAGCCUGACGCAGCGACGCCGCGUGAGGGAUGACGGCCU